rnacentral:rRNA from 1 species
AUACGGAGGGGGCUAGCGUUGUACGGAAUUACUGGGCGUAAAGCGCACGUAGGCGGAUUAAAAAGUUAGAGGUGAAAUCCCAGGGCUUAACCCUGGAACUGCCUUUAAAACUAGUAGUCUAGAGUUCGAGAGAGGUGAGUGGAAUUCCAAGUGUAGAGGUGAAAUUCGUAGAUAUUGGAAAGAACACCAGUGGCGAAGGCGGCUCACUGGCUCGAUACUGACGCUGAGGUACGAAAGCGUGGGGAGCAAACAGGAUUAGAAACCCGUGUAGUCC